UCUGCGUGCUCCUAUUCUUCCUUUUUGG
rnacentral:sRNA from 1 species